GCUUUAUAAAUUAGUCAUUGAUUUUAAUUUACAUGUGAUCUAUUAUUCUUAUAUUUAAAAUUCAUAUUGCAUUAAAGGUCAUACGAGAGACGACAAUAAUAACUAAUAAAUAAAUUGAAUAUAACAUUAAAAUACGAUUGCGAUAUUUUUUAUUUGGAAUGAAAAUAUUUAUUUUUUCGAAAAGAUAAAAUUAUCAUCAAAUUAAAAUAAUAAUGUACUAAUAUACUAUUCAAUGAUAAUAAAGAUUAUUAAUACAAAUACAAGUCAAAACUUGUUUGUUGUAAUCGAAAGAAAUUAAUACUACUACUAAUUCUGGGGCUUGGAUCAAUAAGGGCCAAUCACACUUUUAAUCAAUUUUCGGAAAUAAGGAAUAAAACUUUUAUUUAUUAAUAAUUAAAAAUUUUUGGUUAUUGCAACAGUAAUUUUGUAACGACAUUGGUCUUUUUAAAUCUCAAAAAAUAUAUAUAUUUGAGAUACGCACUUUUACCAAUAGAAAAAGUACAUUAAAGUUUAUAUAGUAUAAUAUUACAAAUUAUAU